GACGAACGCUGGCGGCGUGCUUAACACAUGCAAGUCGAACGGAAAGGCCCUGCUUGCAGGGUACUCGAGUGGCGAACGGGUGAGUAACACGUGGGUGAUCUGCCCUGCACUUCUGGAUAAGCCUGGGAAACUGGGUCUAAUACCGGAUAGGAGCCAUUUUUAGUGUGAUGGUUGGAAAGUUUUUUCGGUGUAGGAUGAGCUCGCGGCCUAUCAGCUUGUUGGUGGGGUAAUGGCCUACCAAGGCGGCGACGGGUAGCCGGCCUGAGAGGGUGGACGGCCACAUUGGGACUGAGAGACGGCCCAGACUCCUACGGGAGGCAGAAGUGGGGAAGAUUGCACAAUGGGCGCAAGCCUGAUGCAGCGACGCCGCGUGGGGGAUGACGGCCUUCGGGUUGUAAACUCCUUUCGCUAGGGACGAAGCUUUUUGUGACGGUACCUAGAUAAGAAGCACCGGCUAACUACGUG
rnacentral:rRNA from 1 species